GUUUGCACUUGUCGGGGAAGGGUGAGAACCUUCGAUUAAGGUUCGACUCGAGCGAAAGCGAGAGAACGUUGCCAACGGCAACGGCCCGAAGGGUGAGGAGCGAAGCGACGAAUAAUCCUUCCCCCAUCACCA
rnacentral:sRNA from 1 species